GAAAGUGAAUUUAGCCAAACAUGGUGUGGUGGCUUCUGCCGAUGCUGUAAGGAAUCAUUCUUCAAGUCUUGGGGUUUUGAUGCCAGAAGAUAGACUUUAUUCUUCAGAUGAAAUAAAGCCGAGAAAAACUCUGUAGAGCAAUCUCCAGACUCUUUUUCUGUACCCUC